GUUUCGACAGCGGAUGUCGAAGCAGGGGAAGCGUGUCGAGGAAGCGGCAAUGAUCUCGUAAACCAUAUGUCGCAAAAAAUAAUCGCCAACACCAAGCGCGAUUCCUUCGCCCUCGCUGCCUAAGUAGCGAGCUUGCGAAGUGUCAGCCCGNNCGGAUCCUGGCAUCAGCUAGGGAACUAAACCUCUAGACCCGGUCACGGGGUGCAGAGGGAAACCAAACAGUGACUGAGCCCGUCGGAGACUUGUCCGCGUGAUCUCCGGGGCCGAGAAAAUCGCAGCGGACUGCACACGGAGAAGCCCUG
rnacentral:tmRNA from 1 species